UUGGAAUGUCCUAGAUCUUCAGAGCCACAGGACAGAAAGACCCUGAGUGCAAAAAGACACCCCCUGAGCACAAAUGCACUGAACUGUUACCUUGGUAUUUAUUUGACACCAACUAGCAUUAACUUAGGGAGCAGCAACCAACGG